rnacentral:rRNA from 1 species
CAGCAGUCGCCGCGGUAAUACGGAGGGUGCAAGCGUUAAUCGGAAUUACUGGGCGUAAAGCGCACGCAGGCGGUCUGACAAGUCAGAUGUGAAAUCCCCGGGCUUAACCUGGGAACUGCAUUUGAAACUGUCAGGCUGGAGUCUUGUAGAGGGGGGUGGAAUUCCAGGUGUAGCGGUGAAAUGCGUAGAGAUCUGGAGGAAUACCGGUGGCGAAGGCGGCCCCCUGGACAAAGACUGACGCUCAGGUGCGAAAGCGUGGGGAGCAAACAGGAUUAGAUACCCCGGUAGUCCCUGUCUCUUAUAC